GGCCUCGUAGCUUAAUUGGCUAGAGCGUUGGCUGUACAAAAGCCUUCCCCCUGUUGGCGUGGGUUUGAAUCCCACCGAGGCCG
rfam:Schistocephalus solidus strain NST_G2 genome assembly, scaffold: SSLN_scaffold0000671